rnacentral:rRNA from 1 species
GACGAACGCUGGCGGCGUGCUUAACACAUGCAAGUCGAACGGAAAGGCCCUGCUUUUGUGGGGUGCUCGUGUGGCGAACGGGUGAGUAACACGUGAGUAACCUGCCCUUGACUUUGGGAUAACUUCAGGAAACUGGGGCUAAUACCGGAUAGGAGCUCCUGCUGCAUGGUGGGGGUUGGAAAGUUUCGGCGGUUGGGGAUGGACUCGCGGCUUGUCAGCUUGUUGGUGGGGUAGUGGCUUACCAAGGCUUUGACGGGUAGCCGGCCUGAGAGGGUGACCGGCCACAUUGGGACUGAGAUACGGCCCAGACUCCUACGGGAGGCAGCAGUGGGGAAUAUUGCACAAUGGGCGGAAGCCUGAUGCAGCAACGCCGCGUGCGGGAUGACGGCCUUCGGGUUGUAAACCGCUUUCGCCUGUGACGAAGCGUGAGUGACGGUAAUGGGUAAAGAAGCACCGGCUAACUACGUG